rnacentral:rRNA from 1 species
CAAGUCCGAUGCUAAAGACUGGGGCUCAACCCCAGGGGUGCGUUGGAUACUGUGAGGCUAGACGGUCGGAGGGGGUAGCGGAAUUUCCGGAGUAGCGGUGAAAUGCGCAGAUACCGGAAGGAACGCCAAUAGCGAAGGCAGCUACCUGGACGACUUGUGACGCUGAGGCGCGAAAGCGUGGGGAGCAAACCGGAUUAGAUACCCGGGUAGUCCACGCCCUAGACCAUGAGUGCUGGGUGUCCGGCUUCUGCUGGGUGCCGUAGCUAACGCGCUAAGCACUCCGCCUGGGAAGUACGCACGCAAGUGUGAAACUCAAAGGAAUUGACGGGGGCCCGCACAAGCGGUGGAGCAUGUGGUUUAAUUCGAAGCGACGCGAAGAACCUUACCAGGCCUUGACAUGCCCGGAACCCCUCUGAAAGGAGGGGGUGCCCGCAAGGGAGCCGGGACACAGGUGCUGCAUGGCCGUCGUCAGCUCGUGUCGUGAGAUGUUGGGUUAAGUCCCGCAACGAGCGCAACCCCUAUCCCUAGUUGCCAGCAGUUCGGCUGGGCACUCUAUGGAGACUGCCUGCGAAAGCAGGAGGAAGGCGGGGAUGACGUCUGGUCCGCAUGGCCCUUACGGCCUGGGCGACACACGUGCUACAAUGCCAAGGACAGAGCGCUGCUACCUCGCGAGAGGACGCCAAUCGCAAAAACCUUGGCUCAGUUCGGAUUGGAGUCUGCAACUCGA